AGGGCUGCAUGAAGAAGGUGCAGGACUGGCUGCAGGAGAACGUGGGCAUCAUCCUAGGCGUGUGUGUGGGCGUCGCUGUCAUCGAGCUCCUGGGGAUGCUCCUGUCCAUCUGCUUGUGCCGGCACAUCCAUUCUGAAGACUACAGCAAGGUCCCCAAGUACUGAGGCGGCUGCUGUCCCCCACCUCCCUGCCUGUCCCCUCGCCUCAGGGCUCCUUAGGGUCUCCAGGCUCUGCUCCAGGCUCACCUCCCACCUUACUCCCCCAUGCCCGUCCUGUGCUGGCUGGAGGCGGGGGGCAGGGGAGCUUUCUGCGGCCUGGACCCCUCUCCCUACAUUUCUGCCCCAGCUCUUCUGUGGCUCCUUCGCUAUCGCCCGCCGGGAUUCUCUUAGCCACGCAGAGAGAACGCUCCCACGGCGUCCCUGAGCAGGUGGGCUGGGUCUCGGCCUGCCUUGGAGCUGUGUAUAUGGGGCGGAGAAAAGUGUACUCAACAUUGGGGGUGGGGGGGGGUGGAUAAGGCACCCUGGGCUGUCAGGGGACUGCCCACUGCGUGGGUAAACAUUUUUUUCCACUGUAAUGCUUAUGUCUUUGGUUUUCACAUUUUCACUGAAGGUAGUGGGAGAGGGUGGGCUUUACCUGACAUUAUUAGGAGCAGCAGCCUUCCCCAGGCCAGCUCAGAUCAACCGAGGAUGAUGCCAUAAGCCGGGCUGAAGAGGGGCCCUCUGGGCCAGGGAAUCUGGACUGGCUCUGGGCUGCUUAGGGAAUCGGGGGUGAACCCUGGGGGCCCCGACACAGAGGGGGUCCUGCAUUCGCCAGGAUCCCGAGCUGUCCAGGGAAGGGGAAGGACGCUUUCCCCUGGGAGAAGCUAGGUGGGUCUGUCCUUUGCCCCCUAGGGAAUGGGUGGGUGAAUCUGUGCCUUGGAGUAGGGAGGGGCUCUGUGCACAGUUCUGUAAAACAUGUCUGAGAUUUGACAACUAACUAUUAAAGAGGAUUUGUAACAAUCCA